CCUACGGGUAGCAGCAGUGGGGAAUAUUGCACAAUGGGGGAAACCCUGAUGCAGCGACGCCGCGUGAAGGAAGAAGUAUUUCGGUAUGUAAACUUCUAUCAGCAGGGAAGAAAGUGACGGUACCUGACUAAGAAGCCCCGGCUAACUACGUGCCAGCAGCCGCGGUCAUACGUAGGGGGGACGCGUUAGUCGGAUUUACUGGGGGUAAAGGGAGCGUAGACGGCGAUGCAUGUCUGAAGUGAAAGGCGGGGGCCCAACCCCCGGACUGCUGUGGAAACUGUAUGGCUGGAGUGCAGGAGAGGUAAGUGGAAUUCGUAGUGUAGCGGUGAAAUGCGUAGAUAUUAGGAGGAACACCAGUGGCGAAGGCGGCUUACUGGACUGUAACUGAUGUUGAGGCUCGAAAGCGUGGGGAGCAAACAGGAUUAGAUACCCGAGUAGUC
rnacentral:rRNA from 1 species